rnacentral:rRNA from 1 species
GAACUGAAACAUCUUAGUAGCCAGAGGAAAAAAAAGCAAUUGCGAUUUCCUUAUUAGCGGCGAGCUAAAAGGAAGAAGCCUAAACCUUUUUGGGUGUUGUGGGAUAGUUUUCUUUUAUUGUAUCUUUUUAUGAAAUUGUUGAUUCCAAUACCAUAGAAGGUUGAAAGUCCUGUACUAAAAUAGAUACUUUAAUUUUACUUUUUCCCAAGUAGCAUAGAGCACGUGAAAUUCUAUGUGAAUCAGCGAGAACCAUCUCGUAAGGCUAAAUACUACUAAGUUACCGAUAGUGAACAAGUACCGUGAGGGAAAGGUGAAAUAUUAGAACCCUGAAAAGGGAGUGAAAUAGAUUAUGAAAGCAUAAGCUUACAUGCAGCAGGAGAAUUGUUAAACGUUUGACUGUGUGCCUGUUGAAGAAUGAGCCGGCGACUUAUAGGCAGUGGCUUGGUUAAGAUUUUAUAAAUUGAAGCCAUAGUGAAAGCGAGUUUUAAUAGAACAUUGCGUCACUGUUUAUAGACCCGAACCCGGGUGAUCUAACUAUGAACAGGAUGAAGCACGGGUGACACUGUGUGAAGGUCCGAACUCACCAAUGUUGAAAAAUUGGGAGAUGAUUUGUGGUUAGGGGAGAAAUUCUAGUCGAACUCGGAGCUAGCUGGAUCUCUUCGAAAUGCGUUGAGGCGCAGCGAUUAAUUAUGAACUGCUUAGGGGUAAAGCACUGUUUCGAUGCGGGCUGCGAAAGUAGUACUAAGUUGUAGCAAACUAUGAAUACUAAGUUAUGAAAUUCAAUUGGUCAGUGAGACAGUGGGGGAUAAGCUUCAUUGUCAAGAGGGUAAUAGCCCAGAUCACCAGUUAAGGCCCCAAAAUAAUUGCUAAGUGAUAAAGGAUGUAUUGGUACCUAGACAACCAGGAGGUUUGCUUAGAAGCAGCAAUUCCUUUAAAAAUCGCGUAAUAGCUUACUGGUCAAGUGCCUUUGCGCCAAUAAUGUACGGGGCUAAGCAAUUUGCCGAAGCUGUGGGAUAAAUACGGUAGAAGAGCGUUCUGUUUUAGUUUGAAGCAAUAGUGAAAACAUUUGUGGACUUAGCAGAAGUGAGAAUGUCGGCUUAAGUAACGAAAACAUUGGUGGAAAUCCAAUGCUCCGAAAGCCUAAGGAUUCCUUCGCAAGGUUCGUCCACGGAGGGUUAGUCAGGUUCUAAGACAAGGUUAAAAAACGUAGUCGAUGAACAACAGGUUAAUAUUCCUGUACUAUGUUAAAUUAAGUUAAGGAAGACAAAGGAGGCUAGGUUGGCCAAAGAUUGGUUGUUUUGGUUUAAGCUUUUAGGUGUUGAGAAGUUUUAUUAAAAAAUACUUUGAGCUAAGAAGUUAAUAAUAAAAUACUAAGGUAUUUAAAUAACUAAUGUCACACUUUCUAGAAAAUACCUUAUAACUUUUUAAUUUAACAUACCUGUACCUUAAACCGACACAGGUAGGCAGGUAGAAAAUACUAAGGAGCGCGAGAUAACUCUUUUUAAGGAACUCGGCAAAAUAGCCUCGUAACUUCGGGAGAAGAGGUGCCUUAUGAAAAUAAGGUUGCAGUGAAUAGAUCCAGGCGACUGUUUAUCAAAAACACAGGUCUCCGCAAAGUUGAAAAACGAUGUAUGGGGGCUGACGCCUGCCCAGUGCCGGAAGGUUAAAGAAACUGGUUAGCUUUUAGCAAAGCUGGUGACUGAAGCCCUGGUGAACGGCGGCAGUAACUAUAACUGUCCUAAGGUAGCGAAAUUCCUUGUCGGGUAAGUUCCGACCCGCACGAAAGGCGUAACGAUCUGGAAACUGUCUCAAAAAGAGACUCGGUGAAAUAGAAUUAACUGUGAAGAUGCGGUUAACUUGCACUUGGACAGAAAGACCCUAUGAAGCUUUACUGUAACUUGGAAUUGGUUUUGGACUUUUUUUGCGCAGUAUAGGUGGGAGGCUAAGAUUCUUUUUUUCGGAAAAUGAGGAGCCAUCAGUGAGAUACCACUCUAAAAAAGUUAAAAGUCUAAUGACAUUACUUUAUCAGGAUGUUAGACAUUUCCAGGCGGGCAGUUUUACUGGGGCGGUAGCCUCCUAAAAGGUAACGGAGGCGUACAAAGGUUUUCUCAAACUGGACGGAAAUUAGUUUUAGAGUAUAAAGGCAUAAGAAAGCUUAACUGUUAGACUUACAAGUCGAGCAGGGACGAAAGUCGGUCUUAGUGAUCCGACGUUUCUGAAUGUGAAGGACGUCGCUUAACGGAUAAAAGUUACUCUAGGGAUAACAGGCUGAUCUCCUCCAAGAGUUCACAUCGACGAGGAGGUUUGGCACCUCGAUGUCGGCUCAUCGCAACCUGGAGCGGUAGUACGUUCCAAGGGUUGGGCUGUUCGCCCAUUAAAGCGGUACGUGAGCUGGGUUCAGAACGUCGAGAGACAGUUCGGUCCAUAUCCGGUGUGAGCGUUAGAGUAUUGAAAGGAUCUUUUUCUAGUACGAGAGGACCGAAAAGGACACACCUCUGGUGUACCAGUUCUUGUGCCAACAGGAUAUGCUGGGUAGUCAAGUGUGGAUUGGAUAACUGCUGAAAGCAUAUAAGUAGGAAGCCUACCUUAAGAUGAGUACUCUUCUAAUUAAUUUUAGUAAGAUCACGAUUAGAUUAAUCGUUAAUAGGUAUUAUGUGGAAUAUCAGUAAUGGUAGCAGCUAAGAUAUACUAAUAGAUCGAUA